rnacentral:rRNA from 1 species
GACGAACGCUGGCGGCGCGCCUAACACAUGCAAGUCGAACGAGCGAGAGAGAGCUUGCUUUCUUGAGCGAGUGGCGAACGGGUGAGUAACGCGUGAGGAACCUGCCUCAAAGAGGGGGACAACAGUUGGAAAUGACUGCUAAUACCGCAUAAGCCCACGGCUCGGCAUCGAGCAGAGGGAAAAGGAGCAAUCCGCUUUGAGAUGGCCUCGCGUCCGAUUAGCUAGUUGGUGAGGUAACGGCCCACCAAGGCGACGAUCUGUAGCCGAACUGAGAGGUUGAUCGGCCGCAUUGGGACUGAGACACGGCCCAGACUCCUACGGGAGGCAGCAGUGGGGAAUAUUGCGCAAUGGGGGCAACCCUGACGCAGCAACGCCGCGUGCAGGAAGAAGGUCUUCGGAUUGUAAACUGUUGUCGCAAGGGAAGAAGACAGUGACGGUACCUUGUGAGAAAGUCACGGCUAACUACGUGCCAGCAGCCGCGGUAAUACGUAGGUGACAAGCGUUGUCCGGAUUUACUGGGUGUAAAGGGCGCGUAGGCGGACUGUCAAGUCAGUCGUGAAAUACCGGGGCUUAACCCCGGGGCUGCGAUUGAAACUGACAGCCUUGAGUAUCGGAGAGGAAAGCGGAAUUCCUAGUGUAGCGGUGAAAUGCGUAGAUAUUAGGAGGAACACCAGUGGCGAAGGCGGCUUUCUGGACGACAACUGACGCUGAGGCGCGAAAGUGUGGGGAGCAAACAGGAUUAGAUACCCUGGUAGUCCACA